UGCGCUGGACUGGGUUUGGCUCCCCGCCCACCGGGUCCCAGCUGUGUGACCUUGACGCGUCCUUCUCUGCACUGGAAAUGACAACAAUCAUAAAAGAGCCCCAGUGGCACAGCCCGACCUCCUGCCUGGUUUCUGUGUUGUGUUUAUCGGUGCCGGGGUCAAACCCAGGCCCUGCACGGCAGCCGAGCCCUGCCACUGCGGGACAGAGACCCCUCCGGAGUCGGGUGUUGACGCUUAUGUUACAAAGGACUUGGAUGAGGGUGGUCACUGGCGCUGACAGCCCCCACCCGAACCGACCCAAAUCCCAGUCAGGAAGAGGAUCAACGAAUGGCGCACACACAUCCGCCCUCGAGAAUGGGACUUGUGAUACACUGCUCCCACCGAACACCACACAUGAGGACAGAGAAGCUGGGCAGAGAGAAAACAAAACUUGCUGCAUGGUUCCACUCAGCUGAGGUUCCACGCCCUCCCUGCUCACCCCAAAGACUGCCUGGCGCCCCACUGCAGCCCCAGAAGGCUGAAGCACAUGGGCCACACCCCCACACCUCAAACCCACUGUGUUUUUCCCUGGAGGCUGGGACCGGUGUUUUCUGAGACAGAGUCAAAGGACAGCACAAGAGGCCACAGAUGCGGGCGGGGCCCACAGGGUCCAUCGGAGCUCCCUGCCGUCACAGAGAGGACACAAGUGGGUUGUGCACCCAGCACCUCAAGGGCGCUGUCCACACUGUGGUACGGGGGUGAAGAAAUGAAUGAACAAAUGAUUGGCUCUCGGGCUGCCAAGGAAAACCCUCAGCACACAGGAAAAGGGUGCAUAGGAGGAGGAGCUGCAAGGGGAUCAAACUCGGGUCCUUGCGUUUGCAAGGCAGGCAGCGGAGCCAGGCGUCAGAUUGGAGCUAAAUCCUGGGCCCCAAGGUGAGGCUUUUGACCUUGCACAGGCCUAGUGCAGGUGCCCUGUCACCCUCUUAGCACUGGCUGUCCCUUCAGGUCUACUCCCCACAGCCCCAGGGCACAGGCUGCCUCUUUGUCCCAGGAGGAGGGUAGCAGGGACAUGGGAGUCCGAACUCUCUAAGGCACUGGCAAUCUUACACACAGGAAUCUUCAGCAGCACAGCAGCCCUGUGCUUGGGGCUCACUUUAAAUAGGAAAAGCCCCAGGCGGGAUGGUGCAUAGUAGGUGCUCACUAAACCACAGCUGCCAUUACUGCAGAGGGAAGCCUGGGAUCUGAGGGUGCAGCUGGAGAAGAGACCUCGGCCUCCCCAGUAGGAGGGAGACUGUGGACAUCAGAGGAAGGGAAGGGCAGAGGGAGGUGGCGUGGUGACAGCUGUGGCAUCUAUCAGCCACCUGCAGCCCAUGCCAUCCCUUUGCCCACAUUCUGCCUGUGUUGCCCCCUGCAUCAUGGUGACUAUGGCUGCUUGUGGUCAGCCACUGUCCCGGCCUCCUCCUGCUUCCUGCCUGAGAUGGUAGAAAGGGAGCAGGAAGCAGCUGCCCCGCCCAGAGUCUCCUCCUGCCGAGGGCCGGCGCUGCCCGGGUGGUGGCCAGUGCUCAGGGUGGGGAUCCAUCGAGCUUUUGCAGCACCUGUGUCCUGUCCACACAGCAGGGACAGGGGCCUGCUGAGGCCGUGGAGGAGGAGGGACAUCCCGCCCAGCAGUGUCUGCACACAGCGAGUGUCCGGUGCACACUUCUCACCAUCAGGGCGGAAGGCCGGGCUGUGUCCAGGGUCCCAGGCCCAGUCAUCACCUCCAACCAGCAGCGAUGUCCGGGUGUGGGGCCCCGGUGUGAUCGCAUGCAGUGUCUCUCCAGGCUACUGGCGGGGUGUACACUGGGCUGUCCAGCCAUCGGUCAGGACUGGGGACAUCAGAGUGCUGGGGGGCGGGGUCGAAGGAGCCACUGAAGUGCCCUGCCGAGGGGAGAGACUCUGCCUCCUUGCUUGGGGAUGGGGGUGCUCGGGAUGGUCCCUGGUUGCCAAGGUUACUGCUGGCCGGGCAGAGGGCCCUGGCCCAGGGCACCCAGCAGGUGGCCCAGCAGGGACAUGGAAAGGGAAAGCACCCACUCCGUCUGGCUCAGACCCAAACACAGAAACCAAGCGAGGGCACUGGUGAGUGCUGGGGGUGUCUGGAGCCCUGACCAGAACCCCCAGGAGACGGGAGUCUGGCAGGGGGACCUUAGACGCCAUGUUUCGAGUCGGGGCCACCCACAGUGAGCUGGCCCGGCCCAGCACCAUGCCAAGCCUGGCACCCAGCCCAGCACCAUGCCAAGCCUGGCCCCUGGCCCAUCCUGCCUCAGCUUCCCAGGUGGCCCCAAAGCCUGUCUCUUCCCGGAAGGCCUGGACAGUUUGAGGGUGGCCCCUCUGCAGCCACCUGUCCUGAGUCCUCACUCGGCCCAGACAGCUGGGAGCCUGGAGCUCGGGAGCUGGCCAAGGGCGAUGGCCGGUGGCUGCCUGGAUGCUGGGUGUGCUGUGCAGGGGCCUGCGGAGGGGCCUGGCCCGGCCGGGACCAGGAGGGGAAUGUGGCUCAUCCCAAGCACAGCUGCUUCUGUGGUUCUCUCCAGCAGCUGCUGCUUGCUCCUUAUCUUGGGUCUCAAUCCAGGCUCCACCCCUUUGCUGUUGCUGAGCUGGGGAGGCAGACAGGGCCUGCUUCCUGCUCACAGGGCCUUAGUCUCUCCCACUGCAGCUCAGAGGGACUUGGAAAAGACUCAGCCGGGUGUGGUGGCACAUGCCUGUUACCCCAGCACUCAGGAGGCUGAGGCAGGAGGAUCGCUGGGAGAUCAAGGCCAGCCUGGGCUAGGUAGUGAGACCCUGUCUCAAACAAACAAACAAAAGGUCUGCUACUUGAGACCAACUCUGUACCCCUCUGUGGGUGACUGGGCUUUGAAAGUGAGUCACUGCCCCGGGUGUGACUCCCCUGCCCACUGCAGUGACACCCUAGCUGUGGACCCCAGAGUGGCAUGCAUAGGGCUGCGGUGACCAUGCAGGACCCUGGGCCUCUGGCCUGGGCCCUCCUGGACCUCGCCUGGCCAGCUUUGGACCUGGCACCUGCUGUCCCCACCACGAUGCCACCAAAAUGGCAGGGCUUCUGUUUUCCAUAUUAUUACAGAACUGGAACACUUCUAAGAAGGGGGGAACCUCCCUUACCUCUACUACCCGCUAAAAUAACCAUUGCUAACAAUUUGGGAGAUUUCCUUGCCGUCUCCAGUAUGCAUGUGAGGCGUGUGAAGCAGACUGCUGUCAACAGGUUGGAGGUGCAAUUUCGCCUCCUGCUCUUUCCCUUAACAUCACCAUAGCAGUUAUUCCACGUCACCACAUAUUUUUGCAGCUGAGAUUUUUAAAGAGAUGGGGGUCUGGCUAUAUGGCCCAGCCAGCCUCAGACUCCUAGGCUUAAGCAAUCCUCCUGCUUCAGCCUCCUGAACAGCUGGGAAUACGGGCAGGGGUGUGCUACCAUGCCCAGCCCAACCUUUUUUUUUCAGUACUGCCAGUUGA